GACGAACGCUGGCGGCGUGCUUAACACAUGCAAGUCGAACGGAAAGGCCCUGCUUUUGUGGGGUGCUCGAGUGGCGAACGGGUGAGUAACACGUGAGUAACCUGCCCUUGACUUUGUGAUAACUUCAGGAAACUGGGGCUAAUACCGGAUAGGAGCUCCUGCUGCAUGGUGGGGGUUGGAAAGUUUCGGCGGUUGGGGAUGGACUCGCGGCUUAUCAGCUUGUUGGUGGGGUAGUGGCUUACCAAGUCUUUGACGGGUAGCCGGCCUGAGAGGGUGACCGGCCACAUUGGGACUGAGAUACGGCCCAGACUCCUACGGGAGGCAGCAGUGGGGAAUAUUGCACAAUGGGCGGAAGCCUGAUGCAGCAACGCCGCGUGCGGGAUGACGGCCUUCGGGUUGUAAACCGCUUUCGCCUGUGACGAAGCGUGAGUGACGGUAAUGGGUAAAGAAGCACCGGCUAACUACGUG
rnacentral:rRNA from 1 species